UUCGCAAUGCCCGAAAGGGUGACGAAGCGACGCCGCGUGGGUGAGGAAGGCCCUCGGGUUGUAAAGCCCUGUCAGGAGUUAAGAAAUGUAGACUCGCUAAUAUCGGGUCUAUUUGACAAAGGCUCCAAAGGAAGCCACGGCUAACUCUGUGCCAGCAGCCGCGGUAAUACAGAGGCGGCAAGCGUUGUUCGGAAUUAUUGGGCGUAAAGAGCACGUAGGCGGCCUUGCAAGUCAGUUGUGAAAGCCUUCCGCUCAACGGAAGAAUGCCAGCUGAUACUACAUGGCUUGAGUACGGGAGGGGAGAGUGGAACUUCUGGUGGAGCGGUGAUAUGCGUAGAUAUCAGGAGGAACGCCGGAGGCGAAAGCGGCUCUCUGGCGCGCAACUGACGCUGAGGUGCGAAAGCUAGGGGAGCGAACAGGAUUAGAUACCCCGGUAGUCCUAACUGUAAACGAUGGGCACUAAGUAGAGGGGUUUU
rnacentral:rRNA from 2 species